AAAAUGCAAUAUCCACAAUUCCCAGUCUUUAGGGACUGUUGACUUGGUUUCAACGCAUCGUCACACCGGCUAAGAUUGUGGACCAUAUCUGUGAUCUUUGUAGAUUUUAAAAAGUGUUUAAACAAACGCUUCACUUUUCAAAUAACCUUUUCUUUCAAUGUAAAUUUAGAGCUACUGUGUAUUUUAAUCUUUUUAAUCGUCUUUAGCCUUCAAUUUAUGGCCUUCAUGUUAAAGAUGUUGCUUAGUUUACAUUUUAUUGAAGUACCGUACACGACCUUCUUCUGGGUAAUACAUAUAACAACUAGGCUUCUGCUAUUUAAGCUCAAUCAGUGGUUCCUAAGUUUGUAGUCCUCUUUUCGUAGCUACACUAUUUUUGUGUGUUGUUGUUUUACAGUAUUGCGAACAAGAAGAAAUAACUCGAGGUAAUUAAUGUUAUAGACCACUCCUCCUACGCCCCUGCCGCCUUGGUACUUUCAGGGCCGGCCUUAGGUAAUAAGAGACCUUAAGCGAAGUGAAUAGGGUGGCCCCAAAUAAAAUAGAAAAACAAAAAAAAACAACGAAAAUACGCAAUGAAUUAUAAACAUGUAUAGUCAUAUAUCUAUAUCUAAAUCAACAGAGAACAAAUACAUAGAGCGCUGAUAUGUGCGCCUAAUAUUUUGCAUCAACAAUUCGUGAUCACCAGAAUAAAUUGAACGUUUCAACGCUUCACUAAAAAGAAGAGACAAAGUUCUUCUAACACAUGUAGUCUAACAAAUAGAUCUAGGCCUAAACAUGUGUAAAUGUACCUUGAAUCAUUGUAACCUUAGAGCUAGAAGGCCUAGACAUAGAGCCAGACUUCUACUAGGGUUUGAGAUUUGAUUCGUGUUUUGCAAUUUUUUUUCACUAAAAUAAAAUUUCUUUGUCAUGUGCGAGGCCCCACCAAGUGGAGGUCCUAGGCGGUUGCCUCGUUUGCCUAUACCUAACGCCGGCCCUGGUACUGUAGUUAAUGUUUUAUAGGUUGUCUUUUCAGGCUCGCAAAGCAUUACUUUCGUUUGCCAUUUUGUUGUUUGUUAUUUGCCUCUAUUGACGCCAGUUGCUGUAGAAUGGUCACAUGGUAUUGAAUGUCUGAUUUGUGUUGGAAGUUUGACUUCUGCUGACUUCAGGCCAAGAGAAGCACAAGAGGUAACAUAUGCAUUUAGAUGGAGUGAUCUCUCUUGGUUCUUAGCUCAUCUUACCGGUAGGAUUAAACUCAAACUAUGGCAGGUAUUUCAGAAACUCAGCGCCGAUCACUAAAAACAAAAUACGAGUUAUUUCCCCUUGUUAAUACUUCUCCUGGCCCGAAGAGAUUGAAUGAGAGACUGAGUCACGUUUGUCUAGACUUGACUUGUGCUGGCUUCUACAUGUGCGAUGUAAUAUUAAAAAUAAACAACCAUUCCCGUACAUGUGUCGAUAUUUUGUGUCAUAUUGUUGUAGCAUUUCUACGUUGUUGUUUUUUUUUGUUUUUUUUUAAAUACGGAAAACAAACUAACCCUAAAAAAUAAACUAAUGACUGAAUUGUUUCCCUUUUAUCAUUGAACCUGUGGAAGCAUGUGACUUAUAAAAUAUAUAUAUAUAUGCAUCACACUUGUGU